CAUUAAAUAAUUUAUAUGACUCAUAUAAUCUAGAGAAUAUGGCUUUAGAAGUUUCUACCGUGUCGCCUCAAACGACAUGACUAUGAGUAACAAUACAAUACAUU
rnacentral:ncRNA from 1 species